AUUGAACGCUGGCGGCAUGCCUAACACAUGCAAGUCGAACGGCAGCGCGGGCUUCGGCCUGGCGGCGAGUGGCGGACGGGUGAGUAAUGCAUAGGAAUCUGCCCAGUAGCGGGGGAUAGCCCGGGGAAACCCGGAUUAAUACCGCAUACGCCCUACGGGGAAAGCAGGGGAUCUUCGGACCUUGCACUAUUGGAUGAGCCUAUGUCUGAUUAGCUUGUUGGUGGGGUAACGGCCUACCAAGGCGACGAUCAGUAGCUGGUCUGAGAGGACGAUCAGCCACACCGGAACUGAGACACGGUCCGGACUCCUACGGGAGGCAGCAGUGGGGAAUAUUGGACAAUGGGCGAAAGCCUGAUCCAGCAAUGCCGCGUGUGUGAAGAAGGCCUGCGGGUUGUAAAGCACUUUCAGUUGGGAAGAACCAGCAGCUGGCUAAUAUCCAGUUGUCCUGACGUAACCAACAGAAGAAGCACCGGCUAAACUCCGUGCCAG
rnacentral:rRNA from 1 species